rnacentral:rRNA from 1 species
GACGAACGCUGGCGGCGUGCUUAACACAUGCAAGCCGAACGGUGAUCUUGAGAGCUUGCUCUUGGGUGAUCAGUGGCGAACGGGUGAGUAACACGUGAGUAACCUGCCCCUGACUCUGGAAUAACUUCGGGAAACCGAAGCUAAUACCGGAUAUGACACAGAGCCGCAUGGUUUCUGUGUGGAAAGUUUUUCGGUUGGGGAUGGACUCGCGGCCUAUCAGCUUGUUGGUGAGGUAAUGGCUCACCAAGGCGACGACGGGUAGCCGGCCUGAGAGGGCGACCGGCCACACUGGGACUGAGACACGGCCCAGACUCCUACGGGAGGCAGCAGUGGGGAAUAUUGCACAAUGGGCGAAAGCCUGAUGCAGCGACGCCGCGUGAGGGAUGAAGGCCUUCGGGUUGUAAACCUCUUUCAGUAGGGAAGAAGCGCAAGUGACGGUACCUACAGAAGAAGCACCGGCUAACUACGUG